rfam:Oryza rufipogon genomic scaffold, chr01
UUUAAGUGCAACUAUAAGUUUUCGCACUCAACUUUUAUCAUCCGUCUUAUUUGAAAAUUUUUACAAUUAGUAUUUUUUUGUUGUUAUGAGAUGAUGAAAUAUGAAUAGUACUUUACUCGUGACUUAUGUUUUUAAUUUUUUUCAAAAGAUUUUCAAAUAAGACGGUCGGUUAAAGUUGGGCGUGGAAAAUCGUGGCUGCACUUAAA